rfam:Rattus norvegicus chromosome 10, whole genome shotgun sequence.
GGGGAUUUAGCUCAGUGGUAGAGCACUUGCCUAGCAUGUGCAAGGCCCUGGGUUCAGUCCCCA